AACUCCCCGUCAGAUAUAGUUGAGCCAAGACUCUGAGUGAAAACAACUCCUGCACCGCUACUUACAGCAAACUCAGCAAUGCUACCCAUCGUCAUAGGACUUUUGUAUGCCGACCAUUACCAGAAGCGGCAUAAGACCUUUCCUCCCCUGUGGAAGAAGAAGAAGAGGUCGAAGACCCAGCAGCAGGAGGAACUGUUCCGUAGGCACAUCCACAGUUAGAUUCGACAUCGGAUCUGUGAAAUGUUGCGGGACCAAAGGCUUUAGGUACACGAACGAAGGAUUUAGGCAAGGACGAGCUGAGGAUAAGAAGGAUCCAGACGCACAUGUUUUUUCCUUUUGGGGAUUUUGUCUCGUCCCUUUCCUGGCCUCGGCGCGAUGUGGAGAGAGCGUGUUCCGCGGUUGCAAGUCCUUUCCUGUGGCCUUGUGUUGACAAACGGCGAUACCACCUCACUGAUAGGACUCUCGGUGAACUCAGGAACACGACGUCCAGCGGUCCAGCAGCUAGCGUUUCCAGUGAUACCUAGCCGAGUGUGUGGAUUUCUGUGCUUCGGAAUUUCAUGUUGGCUUUUCUGCUCCAGCGUGGAUGUGAGUGUCUAAGCUUCGCGAUGAACGGCAUUUUAUACUUCGUAGGUUGUAAGUCUACUUCUAUAUUUUUGUAAAUAAAUCUUGGAGAGUGAUUA